CAGGCAUUGCACAGGGCUCUCUCAUACACUGAUCGACAGUCAGGCCGACAGCAUCAUCAGCCUUUCCGAAAAUUAUGUAUGUAUGCAGCCCGUGAAUGUGUUUUGCUGCUCUGUAUAGAGAGAGAGAGAGAGAGAGAGAGCUUGUUUUUUAUCUCAUCGGCCGUACAUGAUUAGGACGGAGUGACGUUUUUACCUUGUUAUUAGUUUAUUUUUCUUAAACUAUGGAACCAAUGCAUUUUUAACUCAUUUUUUUGCUUCCGCUAGAUGCUAUUUGAUUAGAUAUGACAAUGGCAUGCCGUCGAAAACAGGCAUACUUUUUUUUUUUGAGUUCUCUACUGUAUCACAGUAUUUUUUUUCCAGAGACUGAACUUUUUACCGAACAGUAAUUUGCUCACUGGAUAUGGAACAAUAAAAUCAUGUAUGCAAGCCCCGCUGUGUCCAGUCCAGGCAAAGCUUGGCCGCGGUAAAAAUAAUCAUGGCGAGAUCUGGCGGCGGUGAGACCGUGCAUCUGAGCCUGAAAUCAUGAGGUCUCCUAAUUAAUCAGAAAGCCCAUGCAAGCAUGGAUACCAACCACCAUGCAUGGCUCAGGUCAGGUGACUCAGGUGAGCCUGCACUGCAUGCUAUACGUUGCAUUUGCAUCUAAAAACAAGGGCAUCUAUCACUAUCAGAUCUACUUCAUUAUUUGAAAUCUAUGAGACGCUGACACAGGGUGACAGCUAUAUAUGCAAAUGCAACAGAGGUGGUUGAGAUCGGAAACAGGCGUUCGGAGUAGUACUAACACGGAAGCUUAUUUUGAUCACUGAAUGGGAAAUGAAUAUUCGACCUCCAUCCCCUGCUCUUCUGCGAGACUGUGUGACCGUGCUGCUCGCGGUAAUAAUACGAAGCAUUGCAAGGUCUGCAAUUGUGUGGCCGUGCAUGCAUGUGCGUCUGAAAUCAUGAGGUCUCCUGAAUAGUGAAUCCUGAUCUGUGCCGCUGUCAGGGUGAGCCUGCACUGCAAACGAGGGAAUGACAUGGUCACUUGAGAUCUAGCUACCUCUACUA
rnacentral:lncRNA from 1 species